rnacentral:rRNA from 1 species
GACGAACGCUGGCGGCGUGCUUAACACAUGCAGGUCGAACGGAAAGGCCCUGCUUUUGUGGGGUGCUCGAGUGGCGAACGGGUGAGUAACACGUGAGUAACCUGCCCUUGACUUUGUGAUAACUUCAGGAAACUGGGGCUAAUACCGGAUAGGAGCUCCUGCUGCAUGGUGGGGGUUGGAAAGAUUCGGCGGUUGGGGAUGUACUCGCGGCUUAUCAGCUUGUUGGGGGGGUAGUGGCUUACCAAGGCUUUGACGGGUAGCCGGCCUGAGAGGGUGACCGGCCACAUUGGGACUGAGAUACGGCCCAGACUCCUACGGGAGGCAGCAGUGGGGAAUAUUGCACAAUGGGCGGAAGCCUGAUGCAGCAACGCCGCGUGCGGGAUGACGGCCUUCGGGUUGUAAACCGCUUUCGCCUGUGACGAAGAGUGAGUGACGGUAAUGGGUAAAGAAGCACCGGCUAACUACGUG